UUAUGUCUAUUGAAUGCAGUCAGUGUAAGCGAAAUUGAAGCGCUUUAUGAACUUUUUAAGAAGAUCGCCAGUUCUUUGUGAUCGAUGAUGGAUUAAUUAACAAGGAAGAGUUUCAACUGGCUUUGUUCAAGACAAAUAAGAAAGAGAGCUUAUUCGCUGAUCGGGUAUUAUUAUAUCUGUGACAUCAAUUUUAGUAUUUUCAUAAGCUGUGUGCUAUAUAAUCUCUUAAAUUUCAGUGCAAGGACAUAUGUACAACUCGACGAUGGUACAGAGUUGCUAGAUGCUGUGAUGUUCGGUGAUGUUGCAGAAAACAUAUUCUCAUGUACUGCAGUUCAAUUAAGAUCAUAUUCGGACGAGAAACAUAAGUUGUUUGUCCAAAAAACUACGAAGCAAUUAUCAGCCAAAAAAUGGAGAAUUCAGUUGUACGUAGAUGCAAACCGAACAAUGACUUCAAAGUACAAUCAGUUCACCAUUCAAGCAGUUGAACCAAUGGAAGAUUAGGAAGAAGUUACCUUUUUUUUUUUUUUUUGUUACAGUAAUUUUAUUUUAUUUAGUGUUGAGACUUUUCUUGCUGCUGAGCUUGUUUUUCUUUCUCUUGACUUGUUAUUUAUGGAUUUACAUGGAGUAGUGUAUGCAAGUAUUUCAUAUACCCAAUUUUCUAAAAGUAAAUAAUAAGUAUUAUUUUAUUAUGAUUUA